rnacentral:rRNA from 1 species
CCUUGGGUUCGGAAUAACUCAGAGAAAUUUGAGCUAAUACCGGAUGAUGACGUAAGUCCAAAGAUUUAUCGCCCAAGGAUGAGCCCGCGUAAGAUUAGCUAGUUGGUGGGGUAAAGGCCUACCAAGGCAACGAUCUGUAGUUGGUCUGAGAGGACGACCAGCCACACUGGGACUGAGACACGGCCCAGACUCCUACGGGAGGCAGCAGUGGGGAAUUUUGGACAAUGGGCGCAAGCCUGAUCCAGCAAUGCCGCGUGCAGGAAGAAGGCCUUCGGGUUGUAAACUGCUUUUGUCAGGGAAGAAAUCCUCUAGGUUAAUACCCUUGGGGGGAUGACGGUA